rnacentral:rRNA from 1 species
UACGUAGGUAGCAAGCGUUGUUCGGAGUUACUGGGCGUAAAGGGUGUGUAGGCGGUUGUUUAAGUUUGGUGUGAAAUCUCCAGGCUCAACUGGGAGGGUGCGCCGAAUACUGAAUGACUCGAGUGCGGGAGAGGAAAGUGGAAUUCCUGGUGUAGCGGUGAAAUGCGUAGAUAUCAGGAGGAACACCGGUGGUGUAGACGGCUUUCUGGACCGUAACUGACGCUGAGACACGAAAGCGUGGGUAGCAAACAGG